GAAACGCUACACGCAGCGUGGGCCUCGUGUAAGUGUCUCUGCAGAGGGUUUGCACGGGUCGGGGCUGCCCUGGCAAGGAAGGGAUAACCCAGGAUAGCAGAUGCAGAGGGGUGACUAGUAUCCCCCCGCCCCCGCCAAAUUCAGGUCCACUCAGAAGCUCAGAACGUGACCUUCUGGAAAGAGGGUCUUCGCAGAUGUGACUAAGGUUAAGGCUCCAGAAUGAGACCCUCGUGGAUCAGGACGAGCCCUGAGUCCAAUGCCACACACCCCCCCCCAACACACAGAGGUUGAACAGAUGCGGCUACGAGCCAAAGACCCCCAGUGCCAGCCCCCGACACCAGCAGCGGGAAGGGGCAGGGGCAGGAGACAAACACACACACACACACACACACCCCAGGACCUCAGAGAGAGACAGCCCUGCCCCAUCCUGGAUUUCAGACUUCUGGCCUCCAGAACCACGAGACCAUACAUUUCUGCUGUUUCAGGCUGACAGAUUUUAUGGUGAUUUCCUGCAGCAGCCACAGAACACUGCGACAAAUGGAAAGGAAAGGGUCGCACGGGGCUCAGGCAGGAUCCUUGCCCGGGUCUGCUCACUCUGGGUCUGGAGACGUCUUCGCGUAGACACUUGGUUACGGGCGCGCCCGCGGGCAAACCACAACGCUGGGAAUCCCUCUCCUGCCGAGAUCUGUUGGUUCCGGAGAGAUCGUGCCUCCGGGUGUGAGAAACAACCAGUACAGAUCAUUUCAGUGAUUUGCCCCCAAGGUUUCCGAACUGAGAAGAAGGGUGGACGCUGACGACGGAGCAGAGGCUGGGGCAAGGCGGCGCCCGUCCCUCUGGCCUCGCGCUGCACGCCUCGGUCAGAGAAGGGCGGUGUGGCCUGGGGGGUAGGGCCAUCCCAGGCGAGGCCCCGCCGUGCCACAGCGACACCAUCACACGGGGCCUGCCGGUCCACCCGGCAACCGAGGGAUUUGGCCACAGCCUCCCGCCCUUCCUUCCAGAGCUGAGACCCAGAGAUGCACAAUAAUUUGAAAUCCUCCUUCUCUCAGUGUUUAUAGAGUA
rnacentral:lncRNA from 1 species